UUCCUCUUACCUCAGUUGGUAGAGCGCGUCACUAGUACUGAGGUAUUUUCAUGGCCGAUGACAAGGUCAGUCGUUCAAGUCGGCUAGAGGGAA